CAUUAUUUUCCCAUUGAAACCCCUGGGCCUGUCCUGACAAGGCAGGGCUGUUUGUGGGGCAGGGUCUGCGCUUUCCUGGCUUGGAGCAGCUGAAAUUGGAGUCACAGUCUCCCAAAGAGAUCCCACCACCCUGUGAUGGCCCUGGUCCCCCUGCUGCCCUCCUCAGCACCCAGAAGCCUUCCAGAAGGGUUUUUGCAUUUAUUUCAGGAUCUCAGCUCCUCUCCACAGCCCUGAAUUUCCCACAAGAGCAAUACCUAACAAAUCCAAAAAAAGCAAGGAAUGAAAGAGAAUUGGGAAAACAUUCAACCCAAACAAAACCAGCAGUCAUGGAGCAAGAGAUACUGAAGAAACAGAAGCAGAGAAGUGCAAGCAGAAAGACCACAAAACACCUGGAAGCAUUAAACAUAUGAACCUCUCUAUGGCUCGGUUUGUGCUUUAUCCUCACUGUGACAUGACCAGGGAGAAAAACUCACACCAAGACUUGCAGAACCUGAAUUAGCUGAAGGAAAGCUGCAGCAGACAAGCCCAGUUGUGUGCCCAUGCUCUCUCACCCAUCACUGCAGCAGCGCAAAGAGCAGGGGGCUCUGAAAAAGCACAAUUUUGUUCAGAUCCCAGCUGUUCUUUUUACAAACCUGACAAGCUCUCAAGGCUGGAAAACUGCUG